AGUCGAGCGGGGCAGGGGCUUCGGCCUCUGUUCAGCGGCAAACGGUUGAGUAACACGUGGGCAACCUGCCCCAGAGACGGGGAUAGCCCGCCGAAAGGCGGAUUAAUACCGGAUGUGGCCGGAGAGGACCUCCUCUCCGUGCUAAAGGCGGCAACGCGCUCUGGGAUGGGCCCGCGGCCUAUCAGCUUGUUGGUGGGGUAACGGCCUACCAAGGCGACGACGGGUAGCUGGUCUGAGAGGAUGGUCAGCCAGACAGGGACUGAGACACGGCCCUGACUCCUUUGGGGGGCAGCAAUGAGGGAUAUUGCACAAUGGGCGAAAGCCUGAUGCAGCGACGCCGCGUGGGUGACGAAGUCCUUCGGGAUGUAAAGCCCUUUUCUGGGGGAAGAGAACGGACGGUACCCCAGGAAUAAGCCCCGGCUAACUACGUGCCAGCAGCCGCGGUAAUACGUAGGGGGCAAGCGUUGUCCGGAAUUACUGGGCGUAAAGCGCGUGUAGGCGGGAAGGCAAGUCGGACGUGAAAGGCUUCGGCUCAACCGGAGACGGCCGUUCGAAACUGCCUUUCUUGAGGGUCGAAGAGGAGAGUGGAAUUCCUGGUGUAGCGGUGAA
rnacentral:rRNA from 1 species